rnacentral:rRNA from 1 species
UACCUUUUGUAUCAGGGUUGAUUAAAAAAAAUUUAAUUAGUUUAAAUAUCUCGAAAUUAAAAGAGUUAAAUAUAUAAAAUUUUUUUUGUUGAAUAAAAAUUAUUAAUAUAUAUUUAGAGAUUAUAUGUUAUUCAAUUUUAAUGAUAUCUAGUUUUUUUUGAAUUAAAUUUAAUUUAUAUAUUUUUAAGAAUAAAAUUUAUUAAAAAAUUUUAUUUUUAAAAAUAUAAAUAAUUUAUGGGAUAAACUAUAAAUUAAUAUAUAAUAUUUAAAAGUUUUAUUUUUAAAAAAUUAAUUUUAAAAUUUAAAAUAUUUAAUAAAUAUUUAAUAAUUUAUUAUUAAUAAAUUAAAAUUAUAAGUUUAUAUAAAAAUUAAAAAAAAAAUAAUUUUAAUAAAAUUAAUUAUAUUAAAAUGAUUAAAUUAGUAAUUUAAUUUGUAUAAAUUUUUUUAUAUAGAAUAUAUUUUUAAGUAAUUAGGCAAAAUAAUUAUAUUCACCUGUUUAACAAAAACAUGUCUUUUAGAAUUUAAUUUAAAGUCAGUUCUGCUCAAUGAGGAAUUAAAUAGCUGCAGUAUUUUGACUGUACAAAGGUAGCAUAAUCAUUUGUCUUUUAAUUGAAGGCUAGAAUGAAUGAAUUAAUGAAAUAUAAACUGUCUCAAUUAUAUAAAAUGAAUUUAAAUUUUAAGUAAAAAUGCUUAAUUUAAUUUAAGGGACGAUAAGACCCUAUAGAAUUUUAUAUAUUAAUAAUUUAUUAAUUUUAAAUUAUAAAUAUAUUUAGUUGGGAGGAUUUUUAAAUUUAAUAAACUUUAAAAUUUUUAAAUAUUGAUUUAUAGAAUUAAAUGAAAUAUUUAUAAUAAUAUUAGAAUAAAUUACCUUAGGGAUAACAGCGUAAUAUUUUUGGAAAGAUCAAAUUGAAAAAAUUGUUUGCGACCUCGAUGUUGAAUUAAAAUAAAUUAUAAAUGUAGAUGUUUAUAAAUUUAGUCUGUUCGACUAUUAAAAUUUUACAUGAUUUGAGUUCAGAUCGACGUGAGUCAGAUUGGUUUCUAUCUUUAAAAAAAUUUAAUAUUUUUGUACGAAAGGACU